CACUCAAUCCCCACAAUCCCAACGCCGGUGACUGUGCUUGAGGCGCGCCGCGAGCGGGGAGCUGCGUCCAUGAAGCGCCACCACGACGAGCUGCGCCCGCGGCCACGGCGAGCUGUGCCCAUCGAGCGAGGUCGUGGAGCGGCCGGCCUGUGGCGGAGGCUGUUUGUGUCCUCGGCCCGACAACGAUGCGCAGAGGGGACGCGCUGGGGACCCGGUGCUGGAACCGGCAUGGGGAUCUGCUUCAACCAGCGGCGGGAUUUGCUUCAACGGCGAGGAUGGUGGUGGACGGCGACAACGGAGGGGACAAUGUAGGGCGACCACGGCCGCAGGUGCCAUGAUUUUUGCUGCAUAGAUUUUUUGCUGGAACCAGCAUUUUGACUUGUUGCAAUUGGCAAGGAUGGUGCUGGGCAGCUACAGCGACGACGCCAUGAUUUUUUUGUUUGCUGCAUUGAUCUUUUUUCUUCUUCUGAGGAACCAUUUUUCAUUUUUGCUGGAACUAUAUCAAUUUUUUGUUGGAACCAUGUGUGCUUUUUGCUGGAACCAUAUCAAUGUAUUUCGCUGGAAUCA